AACCUUAUGGACCUGCGGGCGUAUACCUGCGGAGGGAUCAUUAACGCGUCUCCGACGGCGAGGGCGCGCCCCAGCUCCGGGCCGAAAGGCCGCGCUGCGGGGCGGCCCGAGCCGCUCGACCUUUGCGAACCCGCUGUGCACUUUUGUCGGCAGAGGCCCCCCCGGGGCCCGAGCCGGAAUCACAAACCCACUCGAAUCGAACGCCGAGCGGCCCCCGUGCCGCCUAAACUUUGACAACUU
rnacentral:misc_RNA from 1 species